rnacentral:lncRNA from 1 species
GCAAGACCUUGCACAUGGCUGGCAUUGUGUCCAUGUAAUGUCACUUCCAGUGUCGAAAAUCAGAGAGAGAUCCUUCUUGGGUGUGCCAAGUCCCACAGUCACAAUAUAAUUGCCUGAACCAACUGUGCUGCCGUCCUUGGCUGGGAUGGUGGUUGAAUCAGUCACCUUCACAUCUUUGCCACCUGAGGUCUUGGAAUUUGAGAGCCUAGAGUGAAUUGACUUGACCCUGGACUGGUCUUGAAGGAGGAUCUCAGUGUGUGUUGGAGCAGCACUUGCCUCGUCUUGGCUUAGCUUAGAGCAAGGCCCGUGCUUGUGGACUACCUUGAGAGAUGCCUU